rnacentral:lncRNA from 1 species
ACCAGGACCCCCACCACCGCCAGACCCGUUUGCUCCUCCACCACCGGACCCCGCACCGCCAAGACCACCUCCACCAGGGCCUCCUGCUCCACCCCCGCCAGGGCAUCCACCUCCGGGUGGACCUUUCGCUCCACCUCCUCCAGGACCACCUGGUCCUCCACCACCACGUGGUCCUCCACCACCACCUUAGUAUCACCUCACAUCACAGUCUCAUCUCCACCAGUACAUUAGUAUUGUAGUAGUAUGUGCAUGUAUAUAAGAAAUAAAGUGUGUGCGCGUGAUGUUUUGUCCAUUGGAAUGUUCUGUUAUUUCUACUUUUCUGCGUAAUUAACAAUCUUCGAUUGUGUUUAUAAAACAACAAGGAUCGAGAAUGUUUUGAUCUUGUGACACUCGAUCUCUUGUCUUUGUUAGAUUACGUUAAAAAUUCAUACAUAACAAAUGGUGAAUAAUAAAAUGAACUACGUUUUCCCUCUAUGUGACAAGCUUCCCUGCUUCCCUCCUUCCCCCAAUCAAUCAAUGUGCUUCGCCCAUCGAUAAGAAAAUAUCCAUAAAGAAUUUACUGGUUUGAUUUAUAGAAAAGUUGAUAUAAAUCCAAAUUCUCAUUUAGGAGUUGGGUUUAAUCCUCGAAUUUAAUGAUUUUAAUACAAGUCUUUUGACUUUUGUGACAUAUAAGAUUACAUUUCUUUUUAAAUAUUGUAUGAUGUAAUUUUUUGAUUUUUAUAUUUUUAAAAUUAUUUUUUGUUCUAAUAUUGCUCAUUAUCUUUGAUUACUUACCUUAAUGAGAUAAUUAGUCAAUAUUAUAUUUCUUUUUUUAUCCAAUUUAUCCUUGAGCACAUAAAACGUAGGAAAUUGCAGUAAAUUUUUAUGGUGAUUUUAUAAUAAAUUAUGAAACUUAUGGUAAGUAAAGCACUUAAUUAGGAAGAUUUUUUUUUUCUUUUUUAAAUAUUGUACAUUGACAUAAGAAAGAAAUAAUGGAGUGAGUUUAGUACUCAAAGGAAGCCAAACACUUGUUAAAAUAGAUGAGAAAAUAAUGGAGAUUUAGAGUUGGGAUUCAUCCCAAGGCGCAAAUGACCGUUAAAGCAUGGUCUAAUAUCUAUUUGCUAUGCAGUCAUAGUAUCAACUUUUUCUUCUUUUUCUUUUAUUAUUAUUAUUAUUUUAUGUUGAAUAUAUGCUCAACUUUGAAUCAGGUUCAAUCAUUUUAUUCUUUAUAGUUGUUUUUUUAAGUAUAGUAUACCUGAGAUAUAGGUAAUACAUUUUUUUGAUAUAUUUUUCUUCAUAUUAUAUUUAUAUCUAAAUUAUUGGUAACAUAUUCCUUUAACCAAAAAAUAAGUUAUUAAUUGACUUGUGUUUUUAUAUACAUGAGAUAUAGGUACCACACUUUUUUGCCUUUUUGUUUAUGAAUCUAAGUUAUAGGUAACAUACGCUUUACCACUUAUCUUUUUUAUGUACCAGAGAUAUAGGUAGCAUAUACUGUCUGACUUAUAUUUUUAUGCACCUAAGUUAUAGGUAAUUUAAUAUUUUGCUUGUUUAUUUUUCCACCUUACUUAUAGGUAAGAUGUUUUGUGGUUUGUUCAGCCUAUGAUGUAGAUAUAUUAUCCCAUGGUAUAGAUAUAUUAUCCUAUUGUCCAUCGCAUAGGUAUAAUAUGUGGGUCUUACUUUUAUUGAUUAAAUGGUAUAUAUUAGGUAAAUAUUAUUAAGAAAAGAAUUCAAAAUUCAAUUACAAGAAAAUUAUGCAUUAAAUUUAGAUUUUCAUUAUGUUUUUCUUAUUUACCUCAAAGGGUAAAAUCGACACAACAAAAAAAGUAAAUAACGUCUAAGGACCUACAUCUAAAACUAAAAAUGCAUGGACUAAAUCCAAUACCAGCUAAUCAUUUUGGAUCUAAACGUAAGAACCCCUUUAAUUUAUGAAUGCAAAUACGCGUAUGCUGGAGGCACAAGAACAUAUAUCCUUUUACUCUCUUGGCCAAACUGAGCUAUUACAAAUAGAAAGGGUCAAUUAAAAAGUUUGCAGACUGGUAAACGAAAAGGAAAAUAGGCUAACACGAAAGAUUCCGAGGCUCUGCAUUUAACUAUCAAACAUUUUGGUGCAUUUCGUAAAAUUUGGUCCACUCCAUUAAUCUAGUGGUUCAUCUUAUUAUACCACAUAAGAUUAAUAAGUUUUGGGCCUUUCUUUUCCAAACUAACUGCCGUUUAAUUCCGUUCUCUGCUUACAAACCCAUUCAUUAGUUUAUGCAGUGUCUUAUACAUAAAAUUUCACAAACCCAUUCAUUAGUUUAUGCAGUGUCUUAUACAUAAAAUUUCACAAACCCAAUCACCAAAACUAAUACCUCCCUAACAUAUAGAACAAAACCUUAUACAUAUGUAGAUUCUAGGAAAAGGUACCGAUCCAUAAAUCAUUAGAGAGAUAAUACCAAAAAAAACCCAUCUCAGAUUUUGAAGCACCCGACCCAACCCGCUGAGAUCAAAUGGGGUUGAAAAUCUGAGAAAGUUGUGGCUUAGGAUAGGUUCCAAGAUGCGAACGAUGACAUUGAUGAGGAGAAUGAAACUAUAGUGGGUGACGAUCUAGGCCUUCUUCAUUGUCCACGUGCUCCACUCUUUCUUUAGAUUGAACUUUUCUUCUCUAAUUAAUUUCUAAUUUUUCAUUCAUCAGAAGAAGAUUUGACAAGAAAAAAAAGAGCAAAGAGAAGAUGGAUGCGGUGGUUGCUGAGAGCAGAAAAGGGUUAACGCCGUUAAUUUUUAAAUAAAAUACGAAACUUAUUAAUCUGAUGUGGUGUAAUAUGAACCAAGAGUAUUGGAGUGGACUAGAUUUUAUCAAAUGUACUAAAAUGUACGAUAAUUAAAUGCAGAGGUUUAAGAUCUCUGACAUGAGUUUGGCCAAUUGAUCAGGACAGUGAAUCCGUCUUUUUUCAGUCCCUUUUCUAUAAAUUAAAUUGAUUUAAAAUAAUUUAAAUUAUUGUAUAUAUAUAUAUAAAAAGGAAAAUAAGAAUAUAAAAGAAAAAACUUGGUGCCUUGAAAAACUUGAGCCUAGCAAAGUCUGAUACAAUGAAACGAGUAAUUGAUACAUUAGUCCACGUUACUGGUGUGAAUGGUUUAUUAAUAACCAUGGACCCAUCAUGGACACGUUUUUAGUCCACCAGUCUUUUCCAACUAACAGUCUUUGUCACGAAUUACUUAUACCAUAUCUAGAAACUUCUCUCACAAAAUAACAACUAUAAAAUUAUAUUAAGCACAAAGCUUAGGUUGUUAAGCAUUUUCCAAGCCUAUAUAAAACCGUCCAAUUCUCAACCUUGUAUAUCUUAAUUUUUUGUAACUAAGUUUUCCGAAAGAAAAUGGCCUUCCGAAGAAAUCCGCCGCCACCUCCACCACCUGAUCCAUUUGCACCACCGCCUCCUCCACCUCCACACCAUGGCCAUCCGCCUCCACCACCACCGCGGCCUGAAUUCUAUCCUCCACCUCCACCGCCACCUCAUUAUCCACCUGGUCCUCCACCCCCACCUUACGCGCCAGGCCCUCCACCGCCGGGUCCUCCUCCACCACCGUACUCAGACCCCUACAGGCCACCACCCCCUUGGGGUCCUCCUCCUCCUCCUCCACGCUACUGAAUACUAAUUAAUAUACCCCCAUAUGGUCUCCGUACGCACGUUGGAUGCACUGGCUACAACAACUGAUCGAGGCUAUACUUCUUCAUGAGAAAGAGGAAUAAAAGGUUCAGGUAUUUUAUUAGCUACCAUCAUGUAGUUCAUGUUUUCAGAUUCAGACCCUGCUUUUUUUUAAUUUAUUUAUUUUUCAUGUUAUCAAUAAUUAUGUAAUAUAGCAAGGUUGAUUGGUAUAUAAGGAUCCCGUGUAUUUGAUUACAUAUAUAUAGAGAUCAUUAAUUAUAUGUCGCAAGGUUUUGAUUGUGUAUUUCUUCCAAGAGCUUGCAAUUACCAUAAUAUAUAUAUAUAUAUAUAUUUUAUCCCUCUCCACUCAUUCUAUUUCUCCAUAUCUUCCUCUCACCGACUCUCUCCUCACAACAGAACAACAUAAAUCACCAGCCACCCUAGGUGGUCAAGAGAGGAGAGAGAAAGUGAGAUAAAGAAAAUGAGAAAGAGAUAAGACUAAAACCAUAGUCUGAAAUAUCGAUAAUAUCGAGGAAAUAUCGAGGAUAUUUUGAUUUUUUUGAAUCACGGAUAUUUCGGAACAUAUCCAUGUACAUAUCGUAUAAAUAUCGACAAUAUCGACGAUAAUAUCGGAAAAUAUCGAUGUCGAUAAUUUCGCUCACAUUUUAGCAAUAUUUUGUCAAAAUAUCGGUAUAAUAUCGCUAAAAUAUCGAAAAUAUCGAAAAUAUCGAUGUGAAGGAAAAAAAAAGUUUUAAUAAAAAUAAAAAAAUAAAAAAAAGGAAAAAAGGGGAGAAAAAAGCACAAAGGGGAUAUGAACCCCUCCCAUUUUACUCCUCUAACACCUUAAACACCAUAUCACUUAUGUUUUUGUGAUAAUAUGCUAAAAUAUUUAUAUUUAUAUGGGUGGUAUGUUAACAAUUACAUGCAAAACUAUUUUGGGGAUUUAUCAUUUGAUGACUACUCUUCAUAAUACACUUACUCUACACAUAGAGAUGAUGAAGAUAGUGAAAAAUUUGAACCUCGUAGGAACUCUAUGUGGUACUAAGUCAUUCAUGUAUCUUACCAUGCAAUGUAUAAAGUGUAAAAUAUUAUAGUAAAUCAUUAUAUAUGAAUGAUUACGGUGUAUUUAAUCUUUUUUCAUUAAUUAUUACAUAUUUUUUACACUCAUAGUGUUUGCCCGCUUGCUGUAUAAUCAACUUAAAUUAGUUAAAUCCAUUAUGCAAUGCAUUUCCUUCUAAUUUUUUGUGAUAAACUCAUAGAUAAUUGACUAAAUAGACAUUCUCCAAAGUUUCAAUAAAAAUUUUCAAGUUUUUCUUACAAUUUUCAUGGUUUUUAUUCAAUUUUUAUCGAUAUCGAUAAUAUCCCGAUAUUUCCAUCGAAAUUUUCAUAUUUUUGGACUAUCGAUAUUUCCGAUAUCAUCGAUAUUUUAGACCUUGACUAAAACAGUAGUGGUGGUGAAUGGGUAAAGGCUGGCUAGGCGUGUUGGGCUUUUUUAAUUUUAUUUAAACAAACUAUAGGACCCAUUAACAUUAAUCACAUUUAUCCAUCAGUGUUGAUGAGGCCCGUGGACCCAUCCACGUGUGGAGUUUUAUCUCAAAAGCACGAAUUCUUCUGCAUUUGGCAUUAGCAAAGUGGGCAACCGUAGGCCCCAUGUUGAAAGGAGUUCCCCAUUAAAUAUUAAUUUACAUUAAUAUGCUGUUGUAGCUUAGUAAUGAUAAUAAUUUAAGGGUAUAUUAGUAAUUUGUCCUUUGAAUUUAUACUUAAUUUUCGAUUAAUUCUCUAUCUUAUUUUAAAAAAAAUUAAGAAUAUAAACUUUUUUUUUUUCCUUUUCCAAUUUCUCCCCAACUGUCUAAAUUCUCAACAUUCUAUUUAAUUUGUCUUUAAAUAUGAGGACAUAUUGAUCAUUUCAAACAUUAAAAAUAAUAAACAUAGAAAUAAAAUUUUAAAAAAUUUAAAAUUGAAAUAAUAAUGAUAUAUUCACCCUCUGUUUGAUAGCCAACAAAAUCACCACUCUCUCUUCGAUCUCUUUCCCCCUCCUUCUCUUCAACAUCCACCAACAUCACCAUUCUCCACCCUCUGUCUCUUCUCCCCCCAUGUGCCCACCCCCUCCUCCUUCUCCCUCCCACUCUCUCUUUUUGCGUCUCUCUCUCUCCCCCUACUAAGGUUACAGAGAGGAAAACAAAAUUUAAUAAUAAACAUCUUGAGUUUUUGGGGUGGAUGUUUAGGAUUUUGAUAUUGAAUUUUUUUUCUUUGGUGGCUAUUUGGCUGUUUGGGUUUCUUGGGGAGUAAGGUGAGGUUAAUAAUAAAGAUCUUGAAAUUUUUUGAGUGGUUAUUUAGGGUUUUGAUCUUGAAUUUUUUUUUUUUUUUUUUGGGGUGGCUGUUUGGGUUUUCUGGGAGGUGAGGUUAUGGAUGUCGAAGAAAGAGGGAGACAGAAGGAGGAGGGGGGGUGAAGGGUGGGCGGUGCUGAUGUCUGUGAAGAGAGAGAAGGGGAAAGAGAGGAGAUAGAGGGGGAGACACUUUGUAGAGAACAAAAGGAAGAAAAACAAAAAAGAAGAUCAAAACCCUAAAGCUUAAGGGAAUAGGGCGACGAGAGAGAGAGAGAGAGAAGGAGGUGAGUCGGGGUGGAGCUGGUUGGCCUCGAGAGAAGCAUCGGGCAGAGGAGGAGGGGGAGAAAAAAACAAAGGGGAGGGGGAAGAAAAAAAACUGAGUUUUGUGUUAUCUUUUUCUUCUUUUUUUCAAAUUUUUUUUUUAAUGAUUUAACAGAAAAUUGGAUGAAAUGUUGAGAUGUAGACGGGCAGGGGAAAUUGACAAAAAACAGAAAUUCAUAUUUUUAAUUUUCUAAAAAAAAAUAAAUAAGGGUUUAAUAGAAAGUUAUGUACAAGUUCAAGGGGCAAAUCACUAGUAUAUCCUUAAUUUAAUGGAUAAUUUUCACUUUAUUACAGUAAAAUUUACCAACUUUUAGAGUUUUAUACAUCAAAUUUUUUCUUUUUGUCUCAGUCGCAUACACAAAAUUGAUUUUCUUACAACUUUCAUACAUGUUGUCACUCUUUAUGUUACAAAGUAUGUUAAUUGUUGAUGUGGCAGUAAAUGUGCCACGCAGAUUCACUCAUAUGAUACCACGUGGUCAACAUACACUAUUAAAUAAAUAAAUAAAAUUUAAUUAAUUAACUCUCCCCCCCCCCCCCCAAAGAAAGAGGGACUUUUGUAUUUAUCUUUUUAAUUUUAAGAUUUUAAUGAAUUAAUUAAUGUUUAUUUAUUGAUUUAAUAAUAUAUUGGACCACAUGGCAUCAUAUGAGUGAGUGUACAUGGCAUUAGCAGUUAACAAACAUGUUAAUAGAAAGACUCACUAUAUGUAUGAAACUAGUAAAAAAAUCAACUUUGUGUAUGCGACUAAGAUGAAAAAAAUUUGAUGUACCGAACUCUAAAAGUCAGUAAAUUUUACCACAUUAAAGUGAAAAUUACCGUAAUUUAAUAUCAUUAAUAUUCACUUUUCAUUUGUCUUUUAGUAUAAAAUAAAAAAAGUUGAGCCCCAUAAUAAAUAUUAUUUUAUUGAUUGGAUCCGGAUCCUUAUUAUAUUGGUAUCAAUUGCUUUGCCUUCUCCUAUAUUAAUAGGAUGAUAUUAAUGUUGAUUUUUCUAUUCCUAUUUAAUAUUGAUUUUCAUGUUGUCGAAUAUAAGAGAUCUCUAACAUACAACUUUGUAUGCAGUUUUUUUUUUCCAGCUGCAUGUGUCUUAAUUUUUUUUUUUUUCAACCACUCAACUCUCUCACUCUCUCAAAUUCUCAGAUUUUAUUUUUCCUAUAUUUUAUAUAUUAUUGUUUUUUUCUUAGUUAUUAUUAAUUAGCAAUUUCAUGAUCACAAAAUUUUGAUUAUAUAAUUUGAUGAUCACAAAAUUUUGAUUAUAAUCACCUUUGUCCAUGAGGCCCAUGAACCCAUCCACGUGUGGAGUUUUUUCUCAAAAGGCCACACGUGCUGGCUUUGUAUUGUCUUUUUUCCCCUUUCUUGUUAUUUGAAGUUUUAAUUUGUUCAAAAUAGUACAACUGGAAACAACUCAAAAUAAAAGUUUUGGACUAUAAAUAGUUGGUAUGAUGCUAUUUCCUUCUCUCUCCUUUCUUGUUUUUUUUUUCCCUUAGAAGGACCGUCGAGUUUUUAGAUAUUUCCUCAAAUAUCAUCUCUACAAAAAAUUAUUUUAAUCUUAAACUAUUUGAUCACUCAAUUAGAUAAUUGUUAUUGUAGCCUUUUCUUGAUGCAUUGUGUACAUCUAUUUUGUUGCUCCCAGCUAGAUGUUUUAAUUCAAUUUGCUUGUUUUUUACAAGAAUGAUCUAUUAAUGACGACUUGAAAAAUAGAUGAUUUGGAUUGUUGAAAAAAAAUAAUUCGUAAGGGACCCUAAAGAAUGUUCCUCAAACAAUAAAAUGGGACUGUAUGUAUAUGUAUAAACGAUACGGAUGUAGAAGACUCGAAGAUUCAAAUGAUGCUAUAUAUGAAGAUGAACCCAUCUUUUUCACCAACUUAUAUGGCAAGCCAACAUGUGAAGCUCAAAAGCUGUGUGAAUUGUUUCUUAAAAAUGCUAUGAUGUGGUAUGGGAACAUCAUGUGCUCCGAGUAGGUGAGGGAAGAAAAUGAUUUUCCGUACAUGAGCCCCCAAAUCAGAACACUGCAGUCGACUGAAAUGACUUCAAUUUGCUUGUUGAAAUCUAAAUAUCCUCUCCCUUGCCAUGGUUGCCUGCACCAUUUACAUUGAAAAUCAAUUCAAUUGUUGAAGUUGUUAAUUUGUGUUGACAUAUGACAAUAACAAAGGCACCUUGACAAAAUGGGAAAGCAUUACACUACGAACCUGUUUUGGCCAAUUUAUGAAGGACGUUAUGAGAAUGAACAACAAUGCCGGUACAGAAGAGCCUGUCAUCAUUCCGAUCCAAAGCCCCAUUCCCCUCAGAUGUAGAAGAAAACCCAAUACGACGGCAACCGGAAUUCCAGCUAUAUAAUAUGCACAAAGAUUUAUAUAAGCCCCUAUACGCUGCAUCCCACAUCCUCUAGCAACCCCUGUCCAAAGAAAUAACUCAAUGAAGUUAUGAACAGCCUUACCUUGAUUAGGUUGUAAAUUGUAAGAACAUCAUUUGAUCCUCCCUUUACUCUUGAAAGUGAAGUCCUAAGAUUUUUAAAGGGGAAAAAAAAUGCAAGUAUACAGAUAUAUGAUAUGUAUUGCACGAACAUCAAUUUGAAAGAAAGUAAUAGGAAAAAGUUCACAAAAUCAAUUGUCUAGAUUGAUAGCUUGACAACAAAACAUGUAACACUGUUAGAGAUGAUGUUUCCCUACACGUGUUCCAUGUUGAGUUGUACGUAACUUUUGCCAAACAAAUUCCAAGAGACUCGAGGUUAAGGGAUGAAUCCUGAUCAAAUAUACUGACCUGAAAGUACAGCUUGUAAGCUGUCUGCGAAAAGUGAGAGGGAAAGCAGUGGAGCAAGUCGUUUGACAUAAUUGACAACUUCCAUGUCAUUACUAUAAACAUAACCCCACACAGAACGGCAGCAGAGGAGAAUUGUGCUCACGAUGACAGCUUCAGUAACUGCAAGAACCAUUGCAGCCCAAACAACUACUCGAGCUACACGUGGAUUAUCGGCUCCUAAUUCAUUUGAAAUUCGGUUGCUACAAAGUGGCAAAUGUAUUUCAUCAAAAAGAGUAUUAGGGGUUAAAUUGUUGGCACAUAGAGGGAUUGUUUCAGGAAGAGAGAUUUAGAGCAAACCUUGCAGCAGCGCCAACACUAUAUGGUAUAAAGUAGUGCAAUGAAGUUGUUGUGAGGCUGCUCACGAGUUCGGGAGGUAUUAGAACUACACUGACACACACACACACAUCUAUAAUCAGCAACCAUAUAGAAGGAAAGAUAAGAGAUUACAUACCAAAUAGAAAGCACUGAAGUUUCAAGUUUCGAGUUUGGUAGAAGCCCAGAGAGUAAAAUAAGCAGCUCAAAUGACCACCAUUCAAGACUACAAUUAUUAGCAGGAAGAGUAGAUGUCAGUGCUUGAUCAAGCCAAAAGCAGGAAAUCACAAACAACUAAACACAAGCUAAUGUUCUCUUGCCACACAGUCUUGUAUCUUGUGUUACCAAAUUGUGAAUAAGGACUAUUGAUUACGUUGAUCUUUGCCUGAACAUGCGCUCUAAAUUCAGAGUCCGACAAUGCAACCAUUUUGCUUGACAAGAAAACGUUACCCUAUACAUACCUAUAUAUUCAUAACAAGAACAGAAACAGAAAGGGAAUUAAUUACUUACCAAACCAUUACAGCAGAGGGGAUGGCCAAGACAAAAAACUUCUUAAUGCUUAAGAAAACAUCAGUUGAGAAGUGGACACGAGUUUUCUCACAUGUUGAAGAAUACUUCAAGUAAGUCAAAAGGAUGAUUGUAUUCAACCAAUUGCAUAAACCUGUGGACAAAGCCGCGCCAAUAUUUCCUAAUCCCAAAUGAAAGACUAGAGCCCAACAUAGAGGUAUGUGCAGAAGCAGAACCAAGGAUGAACUUAAGGGCAUUGGGAAAAUCAGGCCCUGAGCUAGGAAGAAUCGAACCAACGAUUGAAGAACGGCGUAGGCAAAUAGUGAAGGGAUGAGCCAAAUUGCAUAUCUGCCAGCUUCUUGUGCGAUUAAAGGGUCUUGGCCUAACAAUAUUAGCAGUUUUUCCAUGAAUAUCCAAAGGAGAGACACUGGUAAGCAAACCAAAGUGAGAGAAAUUAUGGCACAGUAUGUGUAGGUUCCAAGCUGCUGAUAUUGCUUUGCUCCAUAUGCUUACCCACAUAAAGUUUCCAAACCUCCAGCCAUUCCAGACUUCAGGACAUAUCAAUACCAUUUCAAUUCUCAACCUGACGAAAUUAACCUUAAACAGACAUGCAUGUAUAUGUUCAUAUUUUAAUCUCAAUCAACUUUCACCCUUAAAUUUAUUUGUCUUCUCAAAUUGGUGCUUAAUCGUCAUGGCAGUAGUAACGAGGAGUGUAUACGACCAGUUCUCCUUUUUUGUGCUUCAGCUAUUUAUUUGUACAUGUUUUUGGUUGAUUCCAUAUUCAUUAAUUGAGAACACAAUAAUAACUACAACCAAAAAAGAGAAACUAAAAGAAUGUACAAAUCAAGAAAGAAAGGUCCUAGCAUCCGUACAGUGUGCGUGAGUUGAGUAUACUAUCGCUCCAAGAAAGAAAGUUCCUAGCAUCUUUAUAGUGUGCUUGAGUUAAGUAUUCAAUCGCCACUCUUAGUAAAAAAGGUCCUAAAAAAACAUGUACAAAUCAAGAAACACUAGAGAAAGUAACUAAGAAGAAAAAGCUUUAUAAACUCACAAGGAGACUGAAGCCAGUGACGAUGGAGAAAGAGGUGGCAAUAGCAACACCAGAAAGAGAGAGUUCCCCAAGAUGUCCAACCAUCAUCAUCGAAAUAACCUGCAACAGAUACUGAGACAAAGUCACCACCACCAUCGGAGCCGCCAUCUUCAUCACCUUCUUUAGUUCUUCUACAAGGGCACUGCCCCAUGUCAACUCUUUCCUCGUUUCCAACAGUGCCUCUUCCAUCGAUCCUCAGCGAAAGUAAUCAAACUCUAGCUAGCUAUUUAGCUACUUUAAUAAUUUAGGAUGUUGAAAGAGAAAUUUUACAGAUAUGAAACCUACCAAACUGAACGCAUUAAUGGGGCAUACAGAGUAUGAAGACAAACCAUAUGAAUAGAGGAAUUCCUUUCUACCAAAAUCACAAUCAAACCAAUUAGUAUCCUACUGAUAAUAUGUGUCACUUUCCAUACACUUAAAAUAAUAUCAUAGCAAAGACUCAAUAGUGUAGUGGUUUGGAGUAUUUACUCCCUCAGACAAGGUCCUAGGUUAGAGUCCUAGUAUCCGUGUUGUGUGUGUGAGUUUAAUAUGCUAUCACCCAUUUCCAUAGGAAAGGUCCUCAAAAAAAUAAAAUAUAAAAAACAAUGUCAUAAGCUAAAUUUUUUUUUUUUUGACAACUUUCUUACUACCUUAUUAAAAAAAUAUAUAAUAAAAAUGGUCAGUUAAAAAAAGUGUGUUUCUUUUUUUCUUGAGUGAGAACCUUUUUUUUUAAGCACAAAAGAAGUUCAUGCUAUGCUAGGACCACAAUUUAUUAUUACAGUCUGUAUUCUUUGGAAAAACGAAAAGCAUACUUUUUUAUAUAUAAAAAUUAAAAACCUACGUUUUUUCUUAUUUAAUUUUUCGAUAAGGUGGAAAGAAAGUUAUUUAAAUGCUAGCUUGUUGUAUUAAAAAAUAUAUAUUUAAUAAGAGUUAAUUUGGAAAAGAAAAAUUAGCUUGUGUGAUGCAUUGAUGACAUUGUUUUAAGUGUAAGGAAAGUGAUACAUGCCAUGAGAAAAAUGGAGAAGGUCCAAAAGAGAAGGUUAAAGAGAAGGUUGCUAGCUUUCAUAUAUAUAUAUAUAUAUAUAUAUAUAUAUAUUCAAGUGAUUUUUUAUAGAGAUGAUCUUUGAAUGAUUAUCUAAAACAUAAGAAUGUUUGAAUUAGUGAAAUACAAUAUGGAGUGGGUCCUACAAAAGUGUCCUUCAAAUAAGCUAAUUUGAGGGAUUCCUUAAUGGAAGCUCUCCUCAUCAACUUUGUUGAUACCAAAUAUCAAUUAGGCCCGUCUAAAAGACUUAGGCCUAGACCACUUGAGGAAGUGACAGGACCCGAAUGAUUGGUAGGCUAGAAUUAGCCUUUCCUUGGGCUACUCAGUCCCAAACAGGGAGAACGAAGGCCCCCUAAGGCCAAACAACGACCAUACGUACAACUGUGGACCAGCACGCUACCCCAGGUGUCUCACCCUUGGAGAACUAGAAACAGGGCCAACAUCGUAUCCCACCAAGGCAUGAUGUUCCCAAGUAGGAAGGGAACACGCUCCAGGCUCCCACCAUCCUUCUAGCUGAGUAGGAGCGACGCUGAUGUCUGCCAGAACGAACUGAUAUAAGGGGUGGAGAAGAAGGCACAACCCGUAGCCGAAGGGCUUUGCAUGAAACUAACCCAACUCUCUAGCAGAUUGCCCAUGCUCACUCCUUCCUGAGGUCUUCUAAGGCGAACAGAUUCAUAAAUGCUAAAGACAUCGCGAAAAUUAUGCAUGUCCUCAUGAGUGAUCAUACUGAUAAAGUUAUUGAUAGACCACUUUUCGUCUGAUUCGCCUCUUCCCGUGAAUAGCGCACUAUGAACAAUACGAGAUAUUAGAUGUACUGUGCACUUUUGUGGUUAUGGCCAAACCUUCGGCCCCCAGCUUUCGCUCGUCUCUUGCAGCACAAACAGCCGCCCGAGCUGCUUGUGGAUUGCCAGCUCCUAAUUCAUUUGACACCCGAGUACUGUAAUUAAUAGUUCACCUUUUAGUUUUAUUCAAGUGAUUUUAAGACACUUGUCGAUUGAGAAUGCUACGAACAGUCGUCUACACGCGAGUGGUUAAGGCCUACUUUCUUCACUUGAAGCCUCCAUCCCAUUUUCUUCACCAGCAUUUAUAUAUAUAUAUAUAUAUAUAUAUAUAUAUAUACACAUUAAUAAGAGCUGGUUCUCUUGAGUACAAGGAUUCAGAAAGGGCACAGGCUUCAGGUCCAGCAAGAUAAAACCUUUUUAUCCGGUCCACCGAAAUUUACUUGAUCUUCUUAUGUUUAUCAUGCUGGACAAAUUGGAAUGGAGCCAAUUGUAUGUGUUAAACUUUCAUUUUUUUCUUGCCUUCUGAUUAAUUUGAGCAAAGAUGAUGUAAUUAAGACUGCAAACACAAGCAAAUAAAACUGCUCCAAGAAGCUGACUUUAAAAGUUCUUUUUUCUUUUUAAUUCAAUUUGCUUCGCUGUCUUCUGAUAACCUCUCCACGAAUACCCUCUCCCUUGCCCUCGUUGCCUGCAAUAGAUACGUAUAUAGAUGGUUAGAUGUGUGUCGUUCAUGUUUGUAAGGCAAAUUAUCGUCAAAAAUAUGUUAUGUUAUGUUAUCACACGGCAAAUUUAGACCAAUUUAAAUACAAAUUAAUCCACUUAUAUAUACAGUUAAUUAAUGUGACAUGAGAGUGUCUAGUUUAGUUUAUUGUUCUAACAAGUAAUAUAACAUGCCAGAUUGUCUCAUCUCAAGCUUAAGUUGUAUAGAGUGUAUUAAAUUUUGGAUUCAUUGCCAAUCAACUAGAAGCGGAUUCACCUUCUUGCUACACAUAAGAGGGCAGUUUAUUAGGAGAACUGUGUUUUUUUGGCUGGUUGAUGCAGUGGUAUUCUUUUUCCUUGAUUAGAUUUUCCUUUAUUUAGAGGUUUUUUAAGGCAAUAUUUUAAAGAGGCCCACACUAGUUGCAUCAUCGGGAUCCAGUUUUUAUUGGUUUGUAUUUUAACAGCAAAUUGAAUUAAAAAUGAGAAAAUUUAAUGGGUGGGAGAAAGAUUGCGAAUUUUAAUAGUUCAAGGGGCAUUUAUUCUAUUAGGAAAAACAUAGGGGAAAUUUAAAAUUAGCUACAAGUUCAGGCAAUUUCGACAGUUCUCUUAAAAUUUCGUCAUGUAUUGAAUAAGGAUGGAUGCAAAUAUACUUAGCCAAGGAAUAAUGAAAAGAAAUUAUUGGACUCACAAACCUGUUUUGACCAAUUGGUGAAACCUGUGACAAGAGCAAGAAGAGCUGAUUGCACAAUGGAUCCGGCCACAAUUCCAAUCCAAAGGCCCUUUCCCCUUAAGCGUAGAGGAAAUCCGAGCACAACACCCACUGGAAGUCCAACUAGAUAAAAUGCCCCAAGAUUCACAUAUGCCCCUAUACUCUGCCAUCCACUUCCUCUAGCUAUCCCUGAUGCAUACAACAAAAACAACGAAAAAUAGGUCUUAUAUAUCCGAAAUCUGUUCAAAGAUCUUCCGAGUUUAAAUCUCAUAGACGACAAUUACUGAAAAAAUUAAAAAAGUAAGACAUCACACGAAUGUAAUCCAUGUAGCAUUGCUCACACUCCCAUAUAUGAUAAGAUAAAUAAUAAUUAACCUGAAAGAACCGCUUGUAAGCUGUCCAUAAAAACUGAGAGGCAAAUGAGAGGUGCCAUGACUGCAAUAUAAUCGACGACCGGCUUCUCACUACUAAAAACAUGCCCCAAAACAUGGCGGCAGAAGAAGAGAGUUGUGCUCACAAUAACUGCCUCGGUGACAGAAAGAAACAUGGCAGCCCAAACAGCCACUCGAGCUGCUUGUGGAUUAUCAGCUCCUAAUUCAUUUGACACCCGAAUGCUGUAAAACAGUUGGAUGUUUUAGUCUACUUGAAUCAAUUGGGCCCAUUUUGUAACGUUUUUCGUAUUUGUUUUGUAUUUUUGUUUUCUUGUUCUUCAAUCAGAAUGGAGUGAGAAAUUAAAAUGUUGAGAGUAUACCUCGCAGCAGCUCCGAAUCCGUAUGAUAUGGUGAAGUGCAAUGUAGAGAUUGUAAGGCUAUAAAAUCACAAGUUUGAUCGCAUCAGCUAAGAAAUAAUGUAAUUUCUUCUUCCUCUUGUCAAAAUAAAAGGUGGUCAAGUACUGAGUUUGAAGUAUGUACCAUAUGGAAAGUACUGAAGUCUCCAGCUUCGGAUUUGGUAGAAGGCCGGACAGCAAAAUAAUCAGCUCACAUGACCACCAUUUAAGACUACAUUUUUGUCCAAAGCAACACAAAAUAUAAGAUAUGCAAGUACUUGGAAUUGGGAAUAUAUAGCAAGCAUAAACACAAAUAAAGAUUUGUCAAAGGCAACUGUAACUUUACAAACUGUUACACUCUUGGCCUACCGAGUGCUAUGUCAAAACACAAACGGUUACUUUGAAGGUUGGACUGACUGAGGGGCCAAGGAGGUAAUGAACACAACAAACUAGUAAUUCACCAAAAAAAAAGUAAUUAAUUGAAAAUCGAAAGGAAAGAAAAUGAGGAGAACUUACCAAACCAUUACAGCCGAAGGGACAGCUAAGCGAAAGAACUGUCGAAUGUGGAGAAGAGACUCCAUAGAAAAUGUAAUACGGGUCUUCUCAAACGCGGAAGAAAUUAAAGCAUAGAACAACAGCAAUAUCACAUACAACCAAGUGGACAUGCUAAAGGCAAUGGCUGCACCUUUGCUUCCCAAGCCCACCUUAUAUACAAAACCCCAACUUGCAAGUAUAUGGAAAAGUAGAAUGGCAAAGGAGGACAGGAGCAUUGGAAAAAUUGAACUCUGAGACUGCAAGUAGCGAGUUAACGGUUUGAGAAUUGCACCAGCAAAUAGUGCCGGGAUCAGCCAAACAGAGUAUUUGCGUGCUUCAAGGGAUAUUAGGGGGUCUUGGCCUACUAAGGGUAACAAUUUGUCAAAGAAAAUCCAGAGGACACAUAUUGGGGGGCAAACCAAGAGAAGAGAGAGCAUUGCAGUGCAAGUGUAAGUUCCAAGUUUGUGAUAUUGUCCUGCUCCAAAUGCUUGCCCACAUAGAGUUUCCAAUCCACCAGCCAUUCCCGACUGAUCCACAAAUACAAAUGAAUUCAUCAGUACUUAAUUGGUAGAUAUGUCCAUGGAUGUGUAAGGAAGAGGACGGCGAAGAAAAAAGCGAUUCUAGUAACACCCAAAUUUUCACUGAACACACUCACAAAUUUCAACAUACCAAUUUUACGCCGAAUCUGGCUUAGAAGGAUAAAUUUUAAAUAAAUAAACCGUACAGAUAGGGGCAUGUUUUGAAUUGUGUUUACAAAAAACACUGCUGCUUAUAAUUAAACACUUUCAUUGAAAGAGAUUUCGUUAAGUGCAUGAAAAGUUUUCUGGAAAGAACACUCAAAAACCCAAAAACACUUUUUAACUUUUAACUUUUUUUUUUAAAAAAAUGACUGUCAAAAACCUUUUUUAUUAUUUGAAAGCGCUUUUAGUCAUCUUCGUUUGGGAGUGAUUAUGGAUGGGCCUGAAUCAUUUAUGGGGAGAAGUACCUCCUAUGAGCUUCUCUAUAUAAUCACUUACAUGAUUCUAAGGAGAAGCACAUCCCUUGUGUUUCUUUAUAAAAUCAUUUAAAACCACUAAAAGUAAUUUAUAUGGAGAAAUGAUUUUCCAUAAAAAAUAAUUAUUAACCUAUAUAGAAUCACUCCCAAACAAACCACAAUAGCGACCAAAAGUUAAAGACGCGAUAAGACUGAAUGUGGUUGGCAAUGCGUCAACUAUCAAGUGUACCCCAACAACAUCCAUCCUGAUUUCCCCCCAUAAUAUCAUAAUAAUCUAAUACCCUAAAGCAUAAUGUAUUUAAAUAAUGUUUGAAGAAGAGACCACUUGAACGGCUCAUUAAAGAAAACCGUCAGCAGAUAAGGCAGCCGCUUGUAUAUAUUAUGGCCAACUUGAUAAGUAACGCCAAUAAUUGACCCCUUAUUCAAGACAACAUACUGCAAGAUGUCAUAUUUUAGUGCCAAGAAAAAGGAAAAUUAAUUUCAUGCAAGAAAGAAAAAAAAAAUCCAAAAAAAAAUAAUAAUUGUGAAUGUGGGAUUGGAGAAGAAGAAGAAGAAAGAUGGCUUACAAGCAGGCUAAAACCAGUGACAUUGGUGAGAGAAAUGGCAAUGGCAACACUAGAGAGAGAGAGCUGAUCAAGAUGCCCAACCAUUAUCAUGGAAACAAACUGCAGAAGAUACUGCAACACUGAGACCGCCACCAUUGGAGCAGCUAUAGAGCCUUCCUUCUUCAGCUCUCUCCCAAAUGUUCCCCAUGUCACCUCCCAUGUCUUCUCGUCUUCAACCGUCUCCGCGAUUUCCUUAUCCAUUUCCUUCUUCUGCAUGGCGAUGGUGUUCCUCUGCCUAAAUUAUAUGUCUAUCAGUUAUAUAUGAAUAUAUAUUUAUAUAUAUCAACUUAAAAAGAAAACAAGCAUGAGCGAAUGGGCGGGUUAUAUUCCCUAAGUUGGCCUUCAGAAUAUACAUAGAGUUAUAUGAUGCUUGCCGUCUCCACCGGCCCAUAGAGACCAAAUUGUACUAUGCAUAGGUUCAAUUUAAAUGAUUAAUGAGUGACAUUUAUUUUAUUUUUUUACUUUGUGACAAACAUCCAGUCAAAAGCAAUUCAGAUGUAGAUUUUUUAAUUGAUUAUAUAUAGAUGUCAUGUAGAGAUGUAUAUUCUUUGAUGGCUUAAUUACAAAACGUUAAUCUUUUGAAUUUUUGGUUAGUUUUUUGGUCAAAAAUUAAAUAGCGACAGGUUACGUUGAUUGUAAUCCUAACCCCUCCUUGCCAUUGUCUUGUUAAUAUUUAUAUAGAGUGCUGCUAUUUCCAUCCCCUUGUUCUAUUUUCCCACCCACUUUAUCUUCCCACCUACCAUAUAAAUUUAAAAAAAACAAAAUCUUAUCUUUCCACCUACUAUUAUUUCUAAAAUACCUUUAAAUUAUUAAAGUAAACUAAUAAUAAAAUAACAUUUUAAAAAAUAAAAAACAAAAACAAAAAUCCUCUCUCCCCCCUUCCUAACUCAGCCCCACCCCCUCAGCAACGCUACACUAGCCAUCAGCCCCACCCCCACCUCUUCACCCUUCACCAUGGCUUGAGCAAAAUCCUCAAAAAACUUAGUUAUUUGUGCAGAGCUUCUUUAAUCUCUGCACAAAAUUGGGGUUGAGGGCUGGGAGAUACAAGAUGAAGGACGAUUAAUACCAAAAAAAUGCGAAUUCACCUCUACACAAAACUCUUGCGAAUUCACCUGCACCCACCUUGCGAAUUCACCUCUAGUCUAAUAUCAAUAAAAUACUAACUCACCACGAAUUCAGAAGAGAAAAAAAACAGAAACAAAAAUCUAGAAAGAAAAAAAUAGUAACGAAGCAGAGAGAGAGGCUUUAAUCUCAUACACCAAGUGAGUUCGUCGGCAGCUCAGAGGACCUGGUCCGGAAGGGGGAGAGAGGAGAGAGAGUUUUUGUUUUAUUUUUAUUUGAAGUGUUUUCAAAAAGUUUUUAACUUAGGUCCGUAGAAGUCAUUUUACAAAGAGAUAAAUUUAUUUUUAAAAUUUUAAAAAUAAAGUUGGUGGGAAAAUAAGACAGGUGGGUAGAAAUAGCAGCACUCUUUAUAUAUUGGACAAAAAACUGGUCAUGGCAAAAUAACAGUUCACACUUCAGCUUUGGAUGAUGGGGUAAUAACUUUUCACUGCAGAUAAAACUCAUUUCACUAAAGUUGAUAUCUGAAGCUUCAAUACUACCUUCCUCAAAUGUUGUAACUUCAAAAAUAAUGUCAAGUUAUAAUUUUUCUAACAAAAACAUAUUAUUUUCAGCCAACAGAGUCUAGCCCCAGUGUUAAAGGGACUUACUUGCAAACCAGUAGUCUCAGGUUCGAACUCCCAUGACACAUUGAUAGUAUGUGUGUGUAUGUGAAAAACUCCCCUCCCCUUAUAGUUUAGACUAUUGCUUGCUUAAUGCUUCACUUAGCCUGUGCAAAGUUCAGGACCAAACCAGUCCCUCUAACUGCUUCCACUAUAAUAAAGUAUGCAUGCCUUCAUUUCCCUUUAUUAAAGUUUUCUGUUGUGAUUGUACAAGUUCUUUGUAUUUGUCUAUUUAUUUCAAUUUCAAGUAACCAAAAUAAGGAAAAAAAUGUUUGUUAUAACAUUAGGGGGAAUUGCAGGGAGCAAUGAGAGGAAGAGAAAUAUAGAGAAUUUGUUUUAUGAACUUGUAUCAACUUAUCUUCUUCAUCUUUGAUAAGCACCUAUUUAUAGGCUUACAAUAGAGGUAUUCAACCCACAAUUUAUAGCUACUAAUUACAGUCAUAAGGGCAUAGAUUAGAAAGCAAUAAGGGGUGGAGGUAAUUGAUGUUAUGGUGGUCAUCCACAUUCCAUAGAUUUAUAACACCCUCCCUUGGAUGUCCACCAUACAAUGACAUUGUUGCCUCAUUAAAAACCUUGCUUGGAAAACCCAGUGAGACAAAACCGAAGAAAAGGGAAGAAGAGUGCAACUUUCUUCUGGAUCAUUGAUAUGGUGUUGGACACGUUUAUGUUGCCUCAUUAAAACUUUGCUAGGAAAAACUCAAUGAGGCAAAAACCUAGGCGAAGGGAAAAAGAGUACAACGCGCAUAUGUCCUGUAUGUAGUAGAAUUGGGAUGCUCCCCCUGAUUAAUAUAUCCCCAUGAUUUUCAUUAACUUUUGGAAUUUAGGCUUCAGAAAAAAAUUUGGUAAAAAGGUUCGCAAAUUAUCUUGUGAACGAAUUUGUUUAACUCCAAUUUCUUGGCUUUUUUCUGAGACUAUGUCACCCUUGAUGAACCCUUCUCUGAUUUGAGCAAUACAAACAACAUUGUCUUCAUACAUGAUCGUGUAUCACACUAUUCAACCUGUUUUUCACUUUUCAAAUGAUUGAACUCUUUCGUAGCAUCAAAAAUUAAUCUAAUAGUUAGAAUAUGUUACAACAAUAUCAAAUUUGAAUUCAAAGUACUCAAACUCUUAGUGUUAACUCUUAAUCAAGAAUAUUGUGGUACUUUAUAUCCUUCAAGAGGUCGCUUCAUGCGAUAUAUCUCAAAUAAUUCAUAAGCUUUGAGGAUCUCCAUUUGCCAUACAGUCUUAAACGAGCAUGAUGAAGUCUAAUGGUGAGUACAAAAAAACUCUAUACCAUGUGAUGACUCUAGCUCAUAUAAGUAGAAAGAAAAAUUAGGGAAAGAAAACAUACCAAGAGCAAUGUCAUGCUAAUAAUGUGUUAUAAAACUAAGGGGAAUUGUAGAGAGCAAUAAGAAUAAGAAAAAUACAGAGCAUUUGUUCUAUGAACUUGUAUCAACUUAUCUUAUUCAUCUUUAAUAAACGCCUAUUUAUAGGCUAACAAUAGAGGUAUUUAACCCACAAUUUAUAACUACUAAUUACAAUAAUAAGGACAUAGGUUACAAAGCAAUAAAGGGUGGACGUAAUAGAUGUUAUGGUGGUCGUCCACAUUUCAUAGAUUUAUAACAAUGUUUUUAUUUUUAUUUUUUCCAACAAAAUCAUAUGCAGAACACUUUCGAACCACAAUAUUAUAAACAAAAAUGGUAGGACCCUUUGAGUCAAAGAGUCAAUAGCAUUCAUUUGAAAGUCUCUUUAAUCUACAGGUCUAUCAGAACUUUGUGAGGAGUACAAUUCGUGAUGGAAUGGUAACUAGAAAGCUGAUGCAAGUUUUAUUCAUACAAGAAGCAACUUUACCAACAGAAAAGGGGCGUGAAAAGACGCAGCUGAGGCCUACCAUCAGUUUUUGUGUUGAAGCCUCCCACUUUCUGCACCAGCAUAAGGAUCAAUUAUUACAUUUAUAACAGCUGGUUUUCGUGCUGAGAAGGAUUCUGAAAGGGCAGACUUGAGUUCUUCAGGUGUCCCAACAAGAUAGCCUUUGCCUCCAAAAGCUUCAAUCAGAGUGUGAUAACCCGCACUAGGGACAAAAGAAGUCGGAGCAGGGUCAUCUUUGUAAGGCCCGCUAAUUUCAUCUGGGCUUCUUCGAUCACCGCCAUAUACACCACCGUUGUUAAAGACUAUCACAACAACAGGGAACUGGUAUCGAACCAAUGUCUGCAGAGGUCAAGAAAAAGUGUGCAUAAAUGAAAUAUUGUCUCUUGUGCAGCCAAAGAAACACACAGGCAGGCACUAAGAUGAAUAUAAUCAGUGAAGAAAAAUGACUAAACAAAAACAUAAAUGGCCUUAUGUAAAGUUCAAAGAGGUUCUUGCUUACAGAAAAGAAUAUGAGAGUGAUAAUCAUGUGAAAACAAUUAAGCUGUAUAACAAAAUAAUUGCUUACAUCUCUCUCGCUGACCUCCUUAACAGAAGCUACGCAUAGUAUAGAACCAACAAAGGCAAAUUGAAUGGGUAAAUAGUCUGGUAAUAUGUCCAGUUCAAGUUCUCAUCAACUUUUCUUUUCUUUCUAUUUUUUUCUAAUUAUACAGAAGACCACCUAAUCCUCUUCUAAAAUUUGAACAAAAGGCACUACCACCAACAUCUCUCACAAGAAAAUAUGGCUAAAGCUUAUACCAACUUUGGGACAAGAUCUUACUUGGUAAAACCAUAGGAAGAAACCUACCCUCGCAAGGAUUCUCAGCGCACCGCCAAUGUAAUCAAAGUAUGGAACUAUGUUUCCCUAAGAACCACCAAAACCUUGUACAGCAUUCUAAUUAAGCUGUUACAAUUAUCACACUAACUUUGACGUUUUUGAACCUGGACUAAACUAUUUUAAUCUGCAGUUCUACCAAAAAACAUACCAAAGACUAUGCUGAAGACAAAUGAAUAAGAUUUUACAACACAAAAGACCCUUGGAAGCCGCUAACCACCCUUUCUCACUCCCAGCAAAACUAAGACGAAGAUAGCAAAUGCCUCAUAUUUGUUCAAGUCUCUUAAACCUUAUGCUCUAACAAUAAGAGACAAGCAUAGAUAUCUGCAUAGGAAAUCAAGUAUAGAAACUCAUUCUCAUAGGAAAGCUCACCUCAUAACCAGUAAAAGUUUAAAUGCUUCAAGUUGUGAGAAAAUUGCUAAGCCGGCAUAAUCAUGGGGGUGUGAUGUGCGCAGAUGGGCAAUGAAGUACUUGGGUCUUCCACUCGGAGGGAACCCUAGACCUAGAGCACUCAAAUUUUGGGAUCCAGUGGUGGAGAAGGUGGAAACGAGGCUUCAAAAUUGGAAGGAGGCAUUUUUAUCUAGAGGUGGAAGGCUGUUAUUGAUUCAAGCUGUUUUGGGCAGUAUUGCUAUUUAUUAUAUGUCCCUGCUCAGAAUUCCUUGUGGUAGUAAGUUGGAAAAGUUAAUGAGAAGCUUUUUGUGGGAAGGAAUAAAAGGAGGGAAAGAAAGAUCACUUAGUAAGGUGGGAGAUGAUGGCCACAAGUAAGGACGAAGGGGGUUUAGAUGUGGGCAAUUCAAGUGAGAGGAAUAAAGCUUUUACUUGCUUAGUGGUUAUGGAGGAAUCCAACAGAAACAAGUUCAUUGUGCCAUAAGGUGAUUAGGAGUAAAUUUGAGGAGGCUGCUAAUGAGUGGGAUGCAAAUCUUUUGGUGAGAAGCUCAAGUCGUAGCCCUUGGGAAGAUAUUUCCCUUGGGUUGCUUGUUGGCAGUUUUCUGGAACAUUAGGAUGGAGCGUAAAACAAGAAUCUUUGAGGAUUAUAAGGGUGCGGGGGUAGAUGAACUCCGGGACACAGUGAGGUUCUGGGCAACUUUAUGGGAAUCAGUUUCAGCUGAUUUUUAUUGUACUUUCUCUUUUUUCUUCAGAUUGUGGAUUCCUUAUCCACUCUUUGUAAUCAGCUUUCCUACUUUAAUAAAGUUCUGUUUCACUUCAAAAAGAAAAAAAAAAUACAGAGGAAAACCAACAGCAAACUUUAUAUAGAGACGAAAGGGGGUCAUGGCCCCUGCAAAAUUUGAAAGCCCUUAAGCAGAUUGGUUUGAAACCUAAGAAUCAGACACGGAUAUGGAUACGGCGAUACGAUACGACACAACACAGGGAUACGGCAAAUGUCCAAAAACUAGGAUACGACACGUUAUGGAUACGGAAAUUAAAAUAUAAUAAUAAAUACAUAUAUAAUUUUAAAUAUAUUUUAAAUAACAUAAAAUUAUAAAUUAUAAAUAUAGUGUAUCAUUCUUGGGCUUUCUUUUCUGGUUCUUAUAUUUUUUAGGCCUGUAUAGCUUGUUUCAUAUCUUUUUAGGCCCAUUUUAAUAUUAUUAAUUAAGACCCAAAACCCAUAAACAUAUCUUUAAUUAUUUUUUGUCAGCAUAUCUAUGUUUUUUACAACCACGACGUCGUUCAUUUGAGAAUUUAAUUAAAAAAUGAAAAAUUAGGUCUUCUUCUUCCUCGAGCUUGGGCCGCUCCUUUUUCUUUUUCCACCAUCUCUCCUCUUCUUCAUCUCGCUCGCUCUCCCUCCCUCAUACGCAGCGGCCAGCGUACGUCCUAUCUUUUCUUCUUCUUCCUCCUCUCCUCUCUCUCUCUCUCUCUAAUCUUUCCUUCUCCCUCUCUUUGGGUUCUGACUUCAAGAUUGACCAGAAACGUAUUUGAAAUGUCUGAUACUCGUGUCCAGAACCUAGGAUACACGUAUCCGUUAGUCAAAGAUCGUAUCCGUUGACUCCAAUACGUAUCCGAUGCAUAUCGUACCCGACUGCGUAUCUGAUACGGGAUACGGACCUAAGUCCGCGUAUCCAUGCUUCUUAGUUUGAAACUAAAAACUGCAUGGGUAGCCCCCUCAAAGACCAACUCCUUCCACCUAUCCAAGCAUAAGCCAUCCCAUUUCUAAGUCUUAUUUAUGAAGAUUGGUUUCAGACGAAAAACCUUGUAUGUGUGUAGUCCCCUCAAGACCCAGCCUUCUCCAUCUCUCCAAACAUAAUCCAGCCCAUUUCUUAAUCCCCACACUCACUUCAGCCACCCAUUUCUUAGAGCCCCACGCCCAUCUAAGCCGCCCAUAUGUGUAAUACUUGUUUCCCCGCCCCAAUUAACAAUUCCUAGGUUGAUAAAUCCAGCAAACAUGUCUAAAUAAAGUAUCAGAACGCCAAAGUUUUUAAUCCCUCUAUUCCAAUCAUAAGAUCAUCAAAUUUUCUUUCACAUCCUCUGGACCAAAGGGAAGUGCAUCAAAACCAACAACCAAAAAUUAGAGCUCAAAUGAACUUGAAAGCCACAAUCCACGGAUACAAAAGAAGCUUAUUGGUAUAAGAAAGGAAAGAAUCAGCUUAAGUCACUCCAGCUCUCUAGAGCUUCAUUGAGAAUUGACUAACUAAAAAUUAAAACAGUUUCUAGGAAAGAAAAAAUAACAUAGAAACCUUGUAUGCUUUCGUAUGAAACUACUAAUGUAAAACAAACAGGUUAUGCUUAGUUAAGCAAUUAAAUCUAUUGAACAUAACACUGGCAGAAAAAUUACCAUUCUGAAAAAGCAUUAGCCCAUAUUUCACAAGAAUCAGCAAGUAAGGGAUCAUACCUCAACUUCCAUUGCACUGAACCCAAAUCCAGAAUCGCCUUCCACUGCAACUACCAGCCGGUCAGGAGAAGCCACAGCAGCCGCAAUGCAGUAACCCAGACCAACCCCCAUUGUCCCCCAAGUCCCUGCAUCCAGCCUGGUCCUAGGCUCUGUUUGAACCAACACUCCCCGACCGACAUCCAUAGUGUUUGCCCCCUCGGAAACUAAUAUAGGAGCAGGGCUCCCCAAUCCUGAAAUUGCAUCUCUAAUAAUUUUCAUUGGCGUUAAGAAAUUAAAUGGCACAACUUCCUUAGCCAACUGAGCCUCCAUUUUCACAACAUUGUCCUUGGCCUUAUUCGAUAUAGCUUCAACCCAUGAAUGAGACUUCCCUAAGCAAAAAGGAUCAUCUUUAAUCUCUUUAUUGAUCUUUUCCAACACCAACUUUGCAUCUCCAACCAAACCCAAAUGGGGCUUUCUGAGCUCAAUCUCUUCCUUAUCAACAUCAACCAAAAUGAACUUCACGUCCUUGGACCACUUGGGCGGCUCACCAAAGUGCAAAAGCCAAUUCAGCCUCGCACCAACAACAAGAGCAACGUCACAUUUCCCGAUUGCCAGCGACCUUGCUGCCGUCGCGGCCAGCUCAUGAGUAUCAGGCAACAACCCCUUUCCCAUUGGAGUGGGCAAGAAUGGGAUUCCAGUGCGCUCCACCAGUUUACCCAACUCAUCCUCCGCUCGCGCAAAUGCCGCUCCUUUCCCAAACACAAUCAAAGGCCUCUCUGCGUGUCGAAGCAGCGAAACCGCUUCUUCAAUCUGCGAACUUGGCACAUUCACAACCUUCUCCGGCUCUCGGAACCUCUCCGCAGCAGCCACUAAGCUCUCAGCAUCCGACUCGGAAAUUGUUUGAUGCAAAACAUCAGACGGAAAAUCUAAAUAGCACCCACCGGGUCUGCCCGAACCGGCUUUAGCAAGGGCCUGAAACACACAAUCCGGUAUUUCCUUGAUUGAUUUAGCUUUCACAGAGAAUUUCGAAAAGGGUUUCACGGCGGCGAUCUGGUCGAGCUCUUGGAAAUCGCCUCGGCCGAAAUCUUUCUGAUCGCACGAACCGGAGAUCAUCACCAUGGGCCAAGCAUUGGCCAUGGCGUUGGAAAGACCCGCGAGCCCAUGAACGCAUCCGGGGCCCGAUACAGUUAGGAGGACACCGGGUCGACCCGUUAGAAACCCGUAGGCAGAGGCGGCGUAACCCGCCGACUGCUCGUUGUGGAAGGCGAUAAAUCGGACUCCGAGAGAAACCGCACGGGUUGCGAGCGAGGUCACAGGGAUGCCGACGACGCCGAACAUGCGAUCCACACCGAAACGGGCAAGGGCCUUUGCGAUCAGCUGGUUGCCAUCGAGGAUGGUUUGGGAAUUUUGGGUGGUUGGGGGAUUCGCGUCUGACGAAUCUGCCAUUGUAGCUGAUUGCGAAGUGUCUGGUUUGGGGAGGGAAUGUGUGAGUGGAGUGGUAUAUAUAGAUAUGGAAUUUGAAUGACGACUAUGCCCUUAUGGAAGGGUUGUAAUUACGGACUGAUUUUGGGAACGUGCGUUGUUGUCUGGGCCCGGCGGCGGCGACGAGGAUAUGGUGAUGGGCAGUAGUGGCAGAUGAAGAAAGCAAAUUUGAGAGAUGUAUGUGGAACAUGCUGUGUCAGCCACUCGCGCUUUUCUGGUUUGGCGGGCAGUUGGUCUGUCAAUGAAUGAAUGGAACAGUUAGAGGCAAAGUGGCAGACGCAAGUGAUUGCUCCUCGUCUUUAAUUAUGCACCUUUAAAAAUUGAGUCGCCAGUGGUAUGAAAAUAAUUCGACAGAAAAGGAAAGAGAGAAAAUGAACAAGGGAAUUUGGGAGAAAAUUAUGUCUAAUCUUUUGCAGCGAGAGAAGAGAAAAGAUAACACGUAAACUCGACAACGACUUGACUAUUUUGUGAGUUAGCCUAGCUAGUGACUAUUUUGUGUAUUUUGUAUAUGGAUAGUGGUAGGUGUUGUAUAGAUGUGGCGAAUUUUUGAAAUAUGACAAAAUUGGUAAAGAAGAUGCAUCUAAAAAAUAUUGCAUCUUAAUGUCAAAGGCAGGUGUAUUAUGAGAAAGGCAAGUUUUUUAGUAUUAUUCUAGUUUUUACUCAUUUUGUUAAAGACAUGGGCUUAGUAGUAGAUGUCUUUUAUCAAGAACCACACUAAAUUAUUGAUCAAAAUUAAAUUGUAUAUAUCGAUUUGGACGAAUUGGAUUGAAUCCUAAGCACCUAACUAGUAAGAUAUAUUUAUUAUCAAGAGUCACGCUGAUGUUUAAUUAAUACCAUGAUUUUGAUUCAUACUAUAUGUGGAAAUGGAUCGGAUCAUUAAAAAGUAUGAAACAGAAUUCUUAAGUUUUUUCAUAUAUAGAAAUUGAACAUAAUACUGUAAUUAAGCGAAAACAAUAUAUUAUUCCAAUAAUUGAUCAACAUCGUAGCUUGGCACUGGAGGAUUGUCGUCAUCGUCGUCAAGGGCGGAACCAAGGGGUGGUUGGGAUGGGCUCUAGCACAACAUUAUUUUUUUCAAAAUGGGCUUAUAUGUGCAAUUUAAAUUUAGUUAAGUUAGAAAUCAACCCAAGACUCUCCACAAGUCAGCUCACUGGUCCAUUAAGCACAAUCAAAACUUUGACCAAGGAAAUAAAAAAACAAGCCCAAAACCUUGUCUUCCUUCCUCUCGAAAAUGGGUUCCUCCUUUCCUUCACCCUUCUCUUUUCUCUUUUCUAUUUCUUCUUUGUCAUUUUUGUAUUCUCUCUCAUUUUUCUUCUUUUCUUUCUCUUUCUUCUCUCUCUCUCUCUAUCCGAUUUUCUUUUUAUUUCUUAUCUCUCUUUUCUUGUUCCUCUUUCUCUCCGCCAUCUUUAUUCUCUCUCUUUCUUUCCUUUUGUCUUCUCUAUUUGUUUCUCAGAUCUUUGAAAGAAAAAAAAAAAACGAAGUCACAAGAGAAAGCUGAGAAAGAGAGAGAGAAGGAGGUAUGUAAUUAAGAUGUUACUGUUUAUAUAUUACUGAUGAUAUAUGUUUUAUUUUUGGUUCUCACUAUAUUAAUUAGCAUACCCGAAAAAAAAAAAAUUGGUUCUCAUAUUGUUUAUAUAAAUCUUCCAUACCAACAAAAAAAAAAUGUUUAGCACACUCCUAGAAAAAUUCAUAGUUCCGCCAUUGGUCGUAGUCUCUGCCAUCGUUAUCUUCGUUGUUGUCAUACUCAUCGUCACAAUUAUUAAACACAUUCAUCAAAUAAUCAAUAAUAAAGUUGUCGUUGCGGCGAAACUUGUUGUCCCAUGUUCCUCGACUCCGGCCAUCGCUGAAGAAAAGACAGCCAUUGUCUAGCCAUGAUUCUAGACGUCAUGGCCAUGAUUCUGGGAAGUCAAUUGCCCAGUUAUCACUACAUCAUAGCUGAUUACUCUUCAUUGAUUUGCUGUUAUUUACAUACCACUUAUGGACCUUUAUUUUAGCCUAUCGUAAAUUACUUACUGUAAAUAUCCUUGUAUUUGUCAACCACAUGUAACUAUAUAAUGCAAUAUCAAUACACAGAACCCUCAUCGGGUCAUUCUCAUAUUUCUUGCCUAUUACUUGUUACUUCUUUCUCUCUCUCUCACCCAGGGACGGACCCAGGAAUUUUGUGUCGUGGGGUCAUAGUGUAAAAGUUCAAUUUUUUUUUGAAAGAUUAAAAUAACAUUGAAAAUAAAACUAGAGUACAUUCAUUCAUAAUUCAUGUAAAAAAACAACAUUACAAAUUACAAUUGGCCAUGACGAGGUUUCAUAUUUUGAAAACGUAGCAUUAUAGCUUCAUUUUCAAUACAAUCAAAAACAUCCUUCUCAACAUAAACAAGCAAGCUAUCACUCAACCAUUGAUCUCCCAUUUUGUUCCGAAGUGGACCUUUGAUAAUAUUCAUGACGGAGAAUGCCCUCUCGACUGAAGCAGUAGCAACCGGUAAAACUAGAGCCAAUGUAAUAAGCAAAUACACAUAAUUGAAUGCUCGAUGCAUCCUUGUCUCCACCAUUUUUUUUGCAAGAUCACCAAUCCCUUGCAAGUCAGAGAAAUCACUACUCGAACUCACAUAAUGAAUAUAAAGCUCAAGUUGAUCAUCAAGUGCCAAAAGAUCCCCAUCCGAAAAGUCUUGAGGAUAAAAUUGAGCAAGACGAAGUAACUUUUGUUUAUCAAAAGCUACAAAUGAAUCAUUUGGACUCAAACAUGCCAAACAAAUAAGCAACUCAGUAUUUACCUCAUUAAAACGAUCAUCUAACUCCGUAAGUUGCUCGUCAAUGACAUAAAUAAAGAGCUCCACGCGAUAAUAAUGACGAUUUGUCUUUAUUGGAGCAUUACGCCUUGACCUCCCUGGAAGUACGAAGGCCUCAUCCAUGGUAGGAACAUCAAUAUGAUGUUUGUCACAAAAUGAAGACACCUCUUCAACCAAUGCAUCAAACCUAUUAUUCCUCAUCCAAUGUAGUUUUUCCUUGCAUGAUUUCACCAAAGCCAUUGCAUUCACAAUUUCUUGAUCUUUCUUUUGCAAUGCUUGUGACACAUCAUUUGUGAGUCCCAAUAUAGCCUUCAUUAAGAAUAGGUGAAACACAAACUGAAAAGUAAGCAUUUCCCUUUGAAUCUUAUUCGCUUCACCGGCACUAUCAUUGGGAUUAUCAUCAAUAAUCAUUUGAAGCACAUGAAUCACAGAUGAAAACAUAGAAAUGAUGCUAAUAAUGGUAUCGUAAUGUGAGCUCCAUCGUGUGUCACCGGCACAUUUGAGACUUGUUUCUUGAUGCAAACCUCGCCCCGUUAUAAGACAAUCAUUUUCAAAAGCUAUCACAAGUUCUUCUUGGAGUUGUGCUCUAAGUGCAUCACGCCGCUUACACGAUGCUCCAACAUGGUUAACCACACUAUUAGUGGUUGUGAAGAAAGAGGCAAUAUCAAUAUUCUUCUUUGCUACGGCAACAAGUGCUAGUUGAAGUUGAUGAGCAAAGCAAUGAACAUAGUAUGCACAAGGUUGUUCUCUCAAAAUCUUUGUUUUAAGGCCAUUCAACUCACCUCUCAUAUUGCUAGCUCCAUCAUAACCUUGUCCUCGUAACUUGGAAAAGCUCAAACCAUUGGAAGAAAAGAAUAUGUCAAAAGCAUCCUUUAGUGUACUUGAAGUGGUGUCGGUAACAUGUUGAACCCCCACAAACCUUUCAAUUACAUGCCCUUUGUCAUCCACAUAACGCAACACCAUAGCCAUUUGCUCUUUCACAGAAAUAUCACGUGCUUCAUCCACCAAUAUAGAAAAGAAUCUAUCUUUUAAACCACUCAUGAUGACAUCAAGUGUUUCCCCGGCACAUGCAUUCACAAUAUCUUUUUGAAUCUUUGGAGCUACUAACUUGAGAUUCCCCGGAGCAUUUUCCAACACAACUUCUUUAACUUUCUCAUCAUUGUCUGCAAGGAAUUGCAAUAACUCCAAGUAAUUUCCCCUAUUGCUUGAAGUGGCACUUUCAUCAUUUCCACGAAAAGAAAGACCUUGUCUCAAUAGAAACUUAGUGCACUUGAUUGAUGCAAUUAAGCAUCUUCGAUAUGCCAUACGAGCUUGUUCAGAGUGUUUGCUCACAGCCGUUUCAAUAUGUGUAUUUUGAUUCAUCAAAUUUGUAGCGGCUUCUCUAGCUUUAUUAUGAACACUACCAACCGGUCCAACAUGCACCUUCAUUCUUUCUCUCCCUUUCUUCCAAUUCUUAAACCCUGCUCCAGUGAAGGCUUCACUACCCACUUGUUCAAAAUUGGAUUUAAAGAGAUAGCAAUAAAGACAAAAUGCAGCAUCUUUAGAUACACUAUACUCCAACCAAUCAAAUUCAUCAAACCAUUGGGGAAUGAAGCGUCGAUUAAUUCCUGAGAUAUUACUUUGUGGGAAAGAAUGACCUCUAGGUUGACAAGGUCCUUUUUGUAGAUAUGCUCUUCGAACCUCAUCUCUAAUAUUAGCAUCAUACUCAAUCAUACGAAUUCUUAGUCCCGGGGGUCUGCCUGAAGAUUAGCCAAAACCUCAUCUAACUCACUUUGUCUUGAACUUGAAGUUUUUGAACUUCCCACACUAUCCGAACUACCCAAUGAUGACUUUCUCUUAAAAAAUCUUUCCAUAAUUCUACAUAAAUUAAUCAAAAUAAUAACUAAAAUCAAUUCAAGAGAACACCAAAUUUAUACCAAUUAACCACAAAAAAUUCGUAAAUGAAACAUCCAAUAAAUCAAAACAACACCAAAUUUAUACCAAUUAACCACAAAAAAUUCAUAAAUGAAACAUCCAAUAAAUCUAAACAACACCAAAUUUAUACCAAUUAACCACAAAAAAUUCAUAAAUGAAACAUCCAAUAAAUCAAAACAACACCAAAUUUAUACCAAUUAACCACAAAAAAUUCAUAAAUGAAACAUCCAAUAAAUCUAAACAAUAUAAUACAAUCAUAAAUUCAAUUUCAAUUCAAGUAAUUUAGGUUUAGAGUUAGAAUUUACCUUGAAUUGUGAGGUGGUAGAAGUGGAGGCAAGCUUUUGGAAGUGGCGGAGCUGCUGGCAGUGGCGACAAUGGAGGAUUUGGCGCUUCAAGGCUUGGUGGGGAAGAGGGUUAAAGGUUUGUUGGGAGUGGAGAUUGGGGAUUUAGGUUUGAGGGUUUAGAAAAUAGGUGUUUUGGAAUGAAAAUUCGGGAGGAAGAAGCUGGGCAUCUGUUCUGUUUUUUUUUUUUUUAUAACACCUGGACCAAAACGACGUCGUUUUGGCCAGGUCUUUUAAAAAAAAAUCGCUGGUCCAAAACAACGGUGUUUUGGCCAGCGAGUUUUUUUAAAAAAUUUGCUGGUCCAAAACGACGCCGUUUUGGCCAGCGCGUUUUUAAAAAAAAUAACCCGGGCUGGUCCAAAACGACGCCGUUUUGGCCAGUCUGUUUUAAAAAAAAAAUUAGAAGCUGGGCCAAAACGACGCCGUUUUGGCCAACUUCUUUCAAACAGAACAGAGCUUCCCUGUUCAUCUUCUUCUUGCUCUGUCUGCAAAUCCUCUCUCUCAUGGGGUCACACCCCAAUUCAAAGGCACAUUCUACCUUGCUUCCAUGGAGUCCAUGGGGUCGUUUGACCCCAUUGACCCCACUGUGGGUCCGUCCCUACUCUCACCUCAAACCUCUUUCUCUACAUGGUAUCAGAGCCUAGUAGUAGCUAGUGCUCAAAUCGAUCCUAACCUAUGACCAACCUUGAAGACACUACUUUAUCUUCUUCUGUUAACUCUCAUCACGACAAAUCAACCACAAAUACAACCUUGCCUGGCAGCAUGCCUCCAAUCCUAACUUCAUUCAACGUCUCUCAUCUUUUCACCACACCAAUGGACAAAAAUAAUGACCUUUCUUGGAGAUCCCAGUUUAUGGAUGUCCUAGAACUUCGUGAUCUAGAAGAUGUCAUCACGUAUGAUACUCAUGCUCCGAAGAAACACGCUGAUGGAACACCAAAUCCAGCCUACUCAAAGGACAAGCUGGUCCUGAGUUGGAUUAAAGCAACUGCAUCCUCAACUAUCAAAACUCUUCUCAUCCCAUGCACAACGGCUCAUGAAGCCUGGGAUCUACUUGAGCAAAGGCUUUCUCCGUUAUCCAAGACUUAUCUUCGUACCUUGUGGGAUCAAAUCUGCACUCUCAAAAGAGACUCAGACAAACCCGUUGCAAACUAUUUGAUGCACACUAAAUCACUCUUCGACUCCCUCACAACAGGCGGUAUAACAAUGUCAAAUGAAGAAUUCAUUUAGUACAUCUUGGAUGGAAUCGGACAUGAAUAUAAAGAGUUCAUUACAUCACUUCAUCUCAGGCCCAAACUUACCUUUGAUGAAUUUUUUGAUCUAGUUGUACAGGAAGAACAACUAUUAAAAUGGAUGAACUUCAUGUCUCUCUCAAACAGUGUCGCUCUAUGAACCGAUCGCUUUUCAAUCGAUGACAAUCACAAUCAAUGUCCUAGAUCACAAGGGCACAAGAGUUUAGGAAUGGGGCAUGGGUGAGGCCAGAAUUGAAACCGAGAUAGCAGCGGCUGGAAUCACAGUCGUGACAAUCAGAACCGAGGCUGGCAGUCCAGCAAUGACCAUGGCAGCCGAGAGGGAGCACAACCAUUUCGUGAUACUUCCCAACGAUCCAUGGGUUGGAACUCAAAUUAUGAAAGCAGACAAAAUUUUGGACAAAAUAGCCGGGCCAACUACACUCACAGCCAACCUAGUUUCAGUCAUUAUAAUGAGCAACCUCAAUUCAUCACACGUGGUCCAUUAUCUGAUGGCAAACCACCUUUAUUGCCAACAUCCAUACCUGGCUUUGAUGUUAUUUGUCAGUUUUGUAAUAAACAGGGACAUGUCUCGCGAGAUUGUCCUGAACGUGGAAAUUAUGUAUAUAUAGUAGAAGCCAUAAAAGCCAAUCCCGAUGAUAAUACAAGUUGGUGUCUGGAUUUAGAGGCUACUUACCAUAUGACCGUAAAUCUCUCUGCUCUUCCGUAUGCUUAACCUUAUACAGGUACAUACACGAUUAUUGUUGGUAAUGGAAAUCAUUUGGCUAUCACACAUAUUGGUAAUGGUAAUACUCAAUGAAGUAUUAUAUGUUCCUGCUAUAAGGAAAAAUCUUAUUAGCAUUCGUCGAUUUUGUCGGGAUAAUGAUUGCUUCUUUGAAAUGAAUGCUAAUGGUUUUCGUGUCAAGGACAACAAGACGGGGAAGGUAAUCCUCACUAGCAAUAGUUCUGGUGGAUUAUAUCAUAUCAAUGCAGCGCCAAAUGUUACCAACAAAAUCGUGUUCUAUGGGGAAAAGACGACACAAGACGUGUGGCAUGCUCGCCUUGGACAUCCCUCUCACCUAAUUUUUCAAACUCUUUUGAAUAAAUAUCAUUUACCUCUUAAUGGUACUGUUGCUAAUAAUAAAGUUUGCUAUGUUUGCCCUAUGGGAAAGUCUUGUAAGCUUCCUUUUCAAUACAGAACUUCACAUGCCUUGCAUCCAUUUGAUUUGUUACAUCUUGGCUUGUGAGGGCCAACACCAAUUGCCUUAAAUUUUAGUUAUCGAUGUUACUUAUCCAUUCGUAUAGUUCUAUCCACUUGUGAAGAAAUUUGAUUGCUUUGCCAAGUUUGUCACAUUUAAAAGAAUUAUUGAAAAUCAGUUCAACUACAAGAUAAAUGGAUUACAAAUAGACGGUGGUGGAGAAUUCACAAGUCGGGUAUUCAUGAAUUUUUUAAGUGAUCAUGGGAUAACUAAUCAAAUUCCAUGCCCCUACACACCCCAACAAAACGGUGUUGUAGAAAGAAAGCAUAAGCAUAUUGUUGAAAUGGGGUUAUUCUUAUUGACUCGAUCCUCUCUUCCAAAAAGUUUUUGGUUAGAAGCUUUCUCUACGGCAGUUUUUCACAUCAAUAGAUUGCCCUCCUUUACACUUAGACAUAUGUCACCCUAUGAAAAGCUUCUUCAACGUCCGCCUGAUUAUUUAUUUCUUAAAAGCUUCGUGUGUGUCUGUUUCCCUCAUAUGGUUCCUUACAAUACUAACAAAUUAUCAUUUAAAUCAAUUAAAUGUAUAUUUAUUGGAUAUGAUGAUCAUUACAAAGGUUAUCGUUGUUUAGAUUUGAUUUCAGGUCGAGUCUAUAUUUCUCGCCAUGUGACCUUUGAUGAGACCAAUUUUUCGUACAGGACCAGCAUAAUCCAUGGCCCAACUCCAUUGAAUCUACCACAUUUAAUCAAUUUCCAGCAUUACAUGCACCAAGCCUAUUGUCAGCACAAACUGAGCCCAAUUUAACGCCACAUGCUGAUGAGCCUAAGGCUACUGCCAACCACUGAGGUGUUGAGCUCAAUCCAUCUUACACACCUAGUUAUGUGGAUGAGUCCAGAUAUACUUUUACACCUAAUGGACCUGCUCAUAUUCGGCCCACUGUUUUAGACCAGUCCACUCACUCACCAUUUCACCAGAUACCUAUGCAAUCUCUUGAUGCCUCUCCCACACCAAACAAUAUAGACAGCCCAUCACCACUACCUAAUCGAUACAAAAGUGUUAAUAAACUUGUCUAUGGAUCCACUAACCACCUAUUACCUCAUGCCCUCACUGCAAACAUUGCUUCCACACACACCUUUGAACCAACGAAUUAUACCCAAGCAGCCAAAUACCCACAAUGGCAAUAUGUCUUGCAAGAUGAGUAUGAUGCUCUUAUUUGCAACCGCACUUGGUCUCUUAUUCCUACUACACAAUCCAUGAAUCUUGUGGGUUGUAAGCGGGUGUUCAAAAUUAAAUGGAAAGCUGAUGUUUCCAUAGAAUGACAUAAGGCCCGACUUGUUGCUAAGGAAUUCAAUCAAAAAGAAGGAUCGGAUUAUGACGAAACCUUCAGUCCGGUAGUGAAGCCAACAACCAUUCGCACAAUUUUGUCUUUGGCUUUGUCACAUAAUUAGCCUCUCCAACAAUUGGAUGUUCGGAAUGCCUUCUUAAAUGGUUUUUUACUGGAGGAAGUAUACAUGAAACAACCACCUGGGUUUGCAAAUCCUCUUCGCCCAAAUCAUGUUUGCAAACUUCAUAAGGAGCUAUAUGGUCUCAAACAAGCUCCCCUUGCCUGGUUCCAACGACUCACCUCUUAUUUAAUUAGGCAGAAGUUCUUUCAUAGCCAUUUUGAUGCUUCUUUAUUUAUCAGACACACUCACCAUCACUCUGUUUAUGUUUUAGUUUAUGUUAAUGAUAUUAUUGUGACAGGAUCUAACGCUCAGAGUGUUGUUUCUUUCAUUGACAACUUGUCCUCUAAGUUUGACAGUCGACGAAUGGGCAAUUUGAGUUUUUUUCUUGGCAUGGCUUGUUUCAAACUAGAUAUGCAAUUGACCUUUUAAAAAAAUGCAACAUGGAGUCAUGUAAGCCCAGUUCCACUCCUUUAGCUUUCACCACUCAUCUUUCGUCUUCAGAUGGUGACCCACUUCCAGAUGCCACAAUUUAUCGAAGUAUGGUUGGUGGUCUUCAGUACCUUACCUUAUCUCGGUCGGAUAUCGCAUAAUCCCCGCACCAGUCAUCUUCAAGCCAUAAAAUGUAUUUAUAGCUACAUUAAAGGUACUAUUGAGCAUGGUCUUAUAAAUCUAGUGAUUAUCUUCGUCGUGGAUAUUUUGACGCCGACUAGGCUGGGUCAGUUGAUCAUCGUCAAUCUAUGACUAGAGCGUGUAUUUUUCUUGGUCUCAAUCUUCUCACAUGGACCGCCAAGAAAGAAUCCACUGUCUCCCAUUCUAGUAUUGAAGCUGAAUAUAGGGCCUUUGCCACCACAACUGCUGAACUUCGUUGGUUUUGUUACUUAUUUCAUGAACUUAGGAUUCCACUUCGCUCUUCUCCAUGUCUCUUUGUUGACAACAUUUCUGCUCUUCACAUGACAACCAAUCUCAUUUUUCACGCUCGGACUCGCCAUAUUGAGCUUGAUUAUCACUUUGUACAGGAACUACUAGCUCGUGGUGUUCUACACACUCACUAUAUUUCCUCUUAUAAUCAGUUGGCUGAUAUCUUUAUCAAGAAUCUCUCCAUGGAACGGUUUCAUUCUCUUCCUUCCAAGCUCAAUCUCUACUUCAUGCCGUUUUGCUUGAAGGGGGUGAAUAGAACACUAAAGGACAGCCAUUGUCUAGUCAUGAUUCUAGACAUCAUAACCAUGAUUCUGGGAAGUCAAUUGCCCAGUUAUCAUGACAUCAUAGCUAAUUACUCCUCAUUGAUUUGUUAUUAUUUACAUGCCACUUAUGGACUUUUAUUGUAGCCUACCAUAAAUUACUUACUGUAAAUAUCCUUGUAUUUGUCAACCGCAUGUAACUAUAUAAUGCAAUAUCAAUACACAGAACCCUCAUCGGGUCAUUCUCAUCUUUCUUGCCUAUUACCUGUUACUUCUCUCUCUCUCUCUCUCUCUCUCACACACACCUCAAACCUCUUUCUCUACAACCGUCACGUUAACAUUGUUGGUGGACGGGCUAUUAUUAUUAUUCUUACUUGUACUUGGAAAAUAAUUACCAUCAAUAUUAAUAAUAUUGCUCAAAUCAUCCUCAAACAUAUUUUCAAUAUCAGCAAGAGUAAAAAAAUCAUAAUUAUUGCUUAUGUCAGGAUUUGGAUCAAUUACUACAGACAUGUAAUUACUAACAACAUGAUCCUGCUCCAAAGACUUCAACAAGUCUGGCAUUCAAUCCUCAAUUUCAACAAAAAUAUCAUCAUCGAUAUAACCCUCGUCCUUUUUCUCACUUGACUUGGAUUUCCUCUUCUUUUUUAUUAAAGACUUCAGUGGAUACGACGUCUGCUUCGUCGAAUUUUUGGACCGUUCCUCGCUUUCUCUUUGUUCUUCUGACUUCCUCAUCAUUUUGAGAGAUUUCUUUUAUUUCUAAUAAAAAAAUGUAUGACACACAACCAGCACAAAAACCCUAGCUAGUCUCAGAAGAUCCUCGAAAAGCUUUGCAAAGAACACACAAUUGAUCCAGGCAGGGCAGUAAUAUAUAUGGAAAGUCUUUCUUAAUGAGACAUGGAUUUAACGAUGUUUUUUUUAAAAACAUUUAAACAAAAGAUGAUAUCGGUGUUAUUACACAAAAAAAAAAAAAAAAAAAACCCUUACAAUUGGAUCAAUACAUACUUGUGUCUAUGAGGAGAUCAAUUGUUUAUUUGGUCAUGCUAAGAAACAUACUAGUUGAGUUGUACUUCAAAGCCCAUGAAGCAGUGUAAAGGUCCUAAGUCUUUAAUGGCUAAUUGGGUAUUGAGUUGGGAACUAGAUGCUGACAAGAUGUGGAGGAGUUGUUAAUGUUAACAAGGUCCUCAAUGUAGAUAAUAUGGAAUGUAACAGAGGUAUCAAUGUUAAUAAAUAUAAAUUUAUAAGAUGUAGAGGUGUGAAAACCCAAAUAUAGGAGAGCAUUUUGUUAUUCCUCAUACUAGGCAUAAUGAGCUUGUUUGAGGCUAAUGAUAUAAUUGGUAGACGUAAAAGUGCUUUUGAGAACCUGUGAAGAUGAGUCAUGUACAUUGUUUCUUGAAGAUGACCGUGAAGAAAUGCAUUUGAGAUAUCUAGUUGGGAAAUUGCUCCAAUUGUUAUGAACUGCGAGAGACAGAAGGAUUUCAAAUGGGUGAUGGGCUUUGCAACUAGACUAAAGGUUUCACUGUAAUCAAUGGUUUCCAGUUGAUUGAAUCAUUUUUCCACAAGCUGAGCCUUCUAGCAUUCAAUUAUGCCAUCAACAUGAUGUUUGAUAAGGAAGACCCAUUUACAUCUAAUUAAUUUUUGUGUUGGAUGAGGAGGUACCAAUGUACAAGUCUUAGUUUUAUGAAGGGUGGCGCUUUCCACAUUCAUGACAUAUAUCUAGUGUGGAUCUUUCAAAGCUUGUGUAUAGGUGGAUGGUAUUGAAUGGGGCUGAGAAAGUGCUAUUAGGCUUUACAGUGCUAGACUGUGUUGGUAUGUGUGGGAGGUGGUGCUGAUGAUGAGGAUUAUUUAGAUGCUGGAGGUCGUGGAAUUCUGGUUGAAGUAUUGGAUGUAUACGAUGGUAUUGGUAUGGGGGAGUGAGGAAUAUUGAUUGGCGGUGUUGGAGAGUUAGGGUGUAUGAUCGAAGUUGUGGGUGGUGGUAAUGAUAGAAAGGAGUGGGUAGGUAAGUAUGGUGAUGAGGAUGGUGAAGAAGGAGAUGGGACUAGAGUUUUAAAUGGUAAGUUAGAUUCAUCGAACACCACUUGUUGGGAGAUAUAUAUACACGGCCUGAAGAAGGAUAAAGGCAUCCGUAGCCUUUUGGUUGAUGCCAUAACCAAUAAAUAAAUGCAUAAUUUGCUUAUGAACUCAACCUUGUGGCUAGAGUAAGGAUGGAGACAUCGAAAAUAGGCACACACAUAUGCUUUGAGGAAUGUGUAGCUAGGUAUACAAUAAAACAACUUAUGUAAAGGACUAAUGUCAUGCAAGGAAGAGGAAGGUAAACGGUUUAUUAGAUGUAGACAUGUUUGAGAAACUUCUAUCCAAUAUUUGAUAGGCAAUGAAGAUUACACAAUGAUGUGGGAGUGUUUCAUUCAGAUAUGCUAUUUUGUUUAGGUGUGAGGGCAUAUGAGCAGGCAUGUGAGUUAUUGUGUAAUGCCAUUUGUGGCUAGAAAUUGGCGGAAGUAAGUACUAGUGUUGUGAUAACGUUUUGCAGGGACCGAGUGCAUCACGCACGCCAACAGUAAAAAAAUUUAAAAUUUCUUCGCUAACACCAACCUGGCGUCAGCUCUGCUUUCCUCCAAAGGAUAAAAGCCACAUGGCACUUCUUGGGGUGUUCAAUCCAUUCUUUCUACUCCAAUCCAACGACUGUCAAUAUUUAUGUAUAAAAAAAAAAAUUUGAAAAAAAAUGGAAACAAAUACCAACUUUUUUUUUUGAAUUUUUUUCUAUAAAUACCUACCAAUAUAUUGACUCCCCACACCAAAUCUUCAUACAAAUUCUUCUCCUUCCAAUAUUAUUCACUUUCCAUGCCAAAUUUUCUACUACUAAAUUUCAUUUGUGUAAAAAUACAAAUGGCUUCUUCCAUCAAAGCUGGAGAGUUGUGGACAACCAUGGAAGAUGUUUUCUUGUGUGAGUGUGCGUCCAAGUUGGUCAUUGCCCGAUCACGGGCAAUGAGAUGAAAUUCUCUCAUACGUGGAGAAAAAUUCAUGCCAAAUUUUGUGAUCGGGUUCGACUCAUCCAGAAAUGGCCUUGGCUAGUAGGUGAAAUUUUUUGAAUAAAGAGUUAGGAAAAUUGAGAUAUAUGUUAACAAAAGCGAGGGACAACGUUCAAAGCAGUGAAAAUCUUGGCAAUGAGGUAAAUUUUUUGUAAUUGUUGUUUUAUUAAAUUUAAUGUCAUAUUGUUUGAUAUUUUCUUGCAUUUCCAGUUUGCUUUUUUAUUAUAGAUUAUGCAAGCGCAAAUGUGGUUCGGUGCCACUGGCCAAUGUAAAAAAUCUUUCAACAAUCACGAAUAUUGGGAGGUUGUGCAGAAUUGUUCGAGAUUCAAAAUUAUUCCCACAUGUCCAACCAUUGUGUUAAAUGAGACGCCGCUCCACGAUUCAUUGGCAUCGAAUGUGCCGUUGGACUCCCCAAUAAUCAAGGCUCACUAAUCCAAAGGAAUUCGAGGCCUAUUGAGAGAAAGGUGGCAAAGGCCAAGAGAGGGAGCACUUCGAACAAUGAUUGUGCAAAAAUUUUGGAGCAAAUUUCUAUCAAUGGCACACUGAGAAUUGAGAGAGACAUGAAAAGAGAUGUGGCUGACAAGGCAAGAGAUGAAGCAUUAGCAAGAGAAAGGGAGUAUGCACACAAACAAGGUAUGGACAAGAAAGAUCGGGACACCAUGGCCAU